CCGCUGCUCGCACCUGCUGGUGAAGC
rnacentral:piRNA from 1 species